UUAGGUGGAAUUUAUUGUAAAUAUAAAUGUCAGGGAUCAGAAAGUUGGCGUUCAAUUAAUUUCUGUACGCUUACUGGAAUGCAGCAUGAGUUCGGCGAUACUUAGCAAGCAAGUCACUCCCAAACUGAGAAAUCCGCAGAGUCUGCGGCCCCACCGAUCCAACAAAAGUGUCAACAGCAACCCAGCCGGAAGUUCCGUGGAACAUGCGAGGGAAAAUGACACGAACACCGAACUCUGAAGAAGUUUCAAUGAAUAGACGUGGCCGUCGAACGAGAUCACGGUUAAACACCUGCAAAAGACUGGUCGCCUCACCCGCGAGAAUUUCAUUCAGGCUCACCGAUAAUAAGUGGAAUAUUGAUGCAGUUGUCGAAAGCCCAUCCCGUGAAGAAUCUGCAGGCCGCGAAUGACCAGAAACUGUUGGCGUUGGCGGUGGCAAUGGUGCCGAAAAGGCCGAGGGUGGUGCAGGCUACCAGUGCAGGGAUCCUACCCUUGUGAUCUGCGAUCCAUCCGAUCAGGAAACCGCCGACGAUCGAGCCGCAGAAGAAGAUCGACUGGGCUGUUGACACGAGGUAUUCUCGGUCGCAUACCCAAUCUAGCUAAUCACGAAGCGUAAGGAGACAAUGGCGGUGAGAAGUACUGAAAAAUCGCUGUCUAGAGAUUCUUUGGACUUCGUUUAUUUUCCUCGUACUAAUGAUCUAGGGCUCGAGAUUACAAAGGAAAAGAAAGUUUCAACUUCGAGAACUUUUUGCGCUGCAACUGCAGGAGCUAGGUAAAUGAUUCUUACGUGAGAUGAUUCUGCGAAGCCUCCCGAAUAAAAUGGUAUAUUUUUUAAUAAUAUUGGACUUGUUUGAUUGUGCUGAAAAAAUAUUUUAAGCAAGAGAGACAUCGCGAAGUACCAUUUUUCUUGAUUAGCGAUGUUCAGCCUGUUUCAGAUAUUGUUUAAACACGUUCAAACUUUUAUAAUGUUGUUUAAAAAUAUAUGGUUGCAUUCGGGAGAGUCUGUAGAAUCGUUCCGUAUAAGAAUCAGUUGUGUAACUCAACGGACGAAGCAGGAACAAUUUUCGAAAAGUGAGACGUUUUCUUUGGAAUUGAAUCGUUUUGAAUGUGAAAAUAAAAAAGAUGCGUAAAAGGUACUUCACCUCAGUACCAAUGCUGGGAUAUGGAAUCUGCGUGUAGUUAUAUUCCCAAGAGGUACAUUUGAUGGUUCGAUUGGUCCAUAGUUGAUAGGAUCGUGGAUCUUCGCCGGAUCGCAGUAUCUUGGUGAAGUUUAGGUCUUUUCGAUAGCAACGAUCGUAAUAAGGGUAGUCGUUCGACGACGGUAUUGCUAUUUGCACCCUGAACAUGUUCCAAGUAAAACGUGUAUUGUAUUACUUAAAUACGUAAUGCAUAAAUAAACAAAAUAAUCUAAUCUAUAACCGAUGUAUAGAUGUAUAUAUAUGUAUAUAUGUAUCUGCAAAGGUAGUAAAGGAUUAAAUUCCACCAUGUUCAACCCAUAAAUUAUGCAAGUGUUAAAACGAA